AACGAACGCUGGCGGCGUGCCUAACACAUGCAAGUCGAACGAGAAAGGGGCUUCGGCUCCGAGUAGAGUGGCGCACGGGUGAGUAACACGUGGGUAACCUGCCUCUAAGAUUGGGAUAACUCGUCGAAAGAUGAGCUAAUACCGGAUAAGACCACAGUUCCUGCGGGAACAGGGGUCAAAGGUAGCCUCUGCUUGCAAGCUAUCACUUAGAGAUGGGCCUGCGCACCAUUAGCUAGUUGGUAGGGUAACGGCCUACCAAGGCAAAGAUGGUUAGCUGGUCUGAGAGGAUGAUCAGCCACACUGGAACUGAGACACGGUCCAGACUCCUACGGGAGGCAGCAGUGGGGAAUAUUGCGCAAUGGGCGAAAGCUUGACGCAGCAACGCCGCGUGAGUGAUGAAGGCCUUCGGGUCGUAAAGCUCUGUCGGGAGGAACGAAUGCUCCUGAGGUUAACAGCCUCGGGAGGUGACGGUACCUCCAAAGGAAGCACCGGCUAACUCUGUGCCAGCAGCCGCCGUAA
rnacentral:rRNA from 1 species